UGACAUGUCUGUUCGAAACUCAACCCAUCUAAUGGGAUGGGCUUAUUCAGAGCUCAUAACUUUGGGUGAUAGGUUCUAUGAUCGAUAUGCCCAAUCUAUAGUCAGCCUUGAAGAAUCUAGUGUUGCAGUGGCGACUUCCUCUGCCUCAACGCCGGAAAACUCUUUUGAAACAAAUGCCAGUGAUAGCAGACCAAUGAAUGUGAGCUACAGGAUAAGCUUAACACUGGAACCUGGUGUUAAAUUCGGUGAUAUGAUCAUCAGUCCCUCUAACUUUUCAGGUAUAUACACACCAGUAGAAAUUUCUGCUGAAGGGAUUUAUGAUGCCAAAACAGGAUUCCUGUGUAUGGUGGGCUGUAGAAAGCUGAGCUCACCAGUAAAAACAUCAAGCAAUGACUCCAUGGACUGUGAGAUUCUUGUGAAUCUUCAGUUUCCUCAAUUAAAUUCAAAGAAUAGAGGUUAUAUCAAGGGAAGCAUUCAAAGCACAAGAGAAAAAUCUGAUCCUCUUUACUUUGAACAUCUGGACUUGUCUGCAAACUCUUUCUUUGGAGCAAGACAAUCGAUUUGGAGGAUGGAUUUUGAGAUCAUCAUGGUUCUGAUAUCUCACACACUUUCAUGUGUCUUUGUGGGACUGCAACUCUUUUAUGUGAAAAAGCACUCUGAAGUGCUUCCUUCCAUCUCACUAGUCAUGCUUGUGGUUCUUACUUUGGGUUAUAUGAUCCCUCUUGUACUGAACUUUGAAGCCUUAUUUUUGGGGAGCCAUGAUCAGCGAAAUGCCUUGCUUGAGAGCGGUGGAUGGAUUAAAGCGAAUGAGGUGAUCGUGCGGAUAGUUACAAUGGUGGUUUUUCUGCUGCAAUUCCGUCUUCUCCAGCUCACAUGGGCAGCAAAAUUGAAAGAGGGUCACCAAAAGGGCUCAUGGGCUGCAGAGAAGAAGGUUCUCUAUCUGGCUUUACCAUCAUAUGUAGCUGGCUGCCUAAUUGCCUUGUUUUUCAACAGGGGAAAGAAUGAAUAUGGUGCUGCAGUUCAAUCCUAUUCCCUUCCAGAUUACCAGCAACAUUCCCUUUGGGGGGACUUGAGAUCUUAUGCUGGCUUGGUCCUAGACGGUUUCCUCUUCCCUCAAAUCCUGCUCAACAUGUUCACAAGCUCAACAGUGAAAGCUCUUUCCCAUUCAUUUUAUGUUGGAACCACUUUUGUUCGACUGCUGCCACACACAUAUGAUCUUUACAGGGCUCAUAACAAUGCUAUCAGCUUUAAUGGCUCAUACAUUUAUGCGAAUCCUGGUGCAGACUUUUACUCCACUGCUUGGGAUGUCAUCAUCCCUUGUGGGGGUCUGCUGUUUUCUGCUAUCAUUUUCUUGCAGCAGCGGUUUGGUGGUCGUUGCAUCCUCCCCAAAAGAUUCAGGGAGUUGGAAGCAUAUGAGAAGAUACCAGUGGUUAGCACUUAGCAGUGAGAGUAAUAGCUAAAGGAAUCUAGAACUUCAACUCUGUGUUAAAUUCUGUUGUUUUAUCACUGGAAUUGAGUGAUUCUGUGUUUCGUUUCUUCUGUAUUUUCUGCUUGUAAGAGAAGUUGUGUUUUCUGAACCAUCCUUUGAAUGCUCCCUUUGUUCUGUGACUUUAUCCCUCUCAUUUACUCUCCAUUCUCUAUAUGAUUAUCUUGAUUAUUCGCUUCAGCUUCUACAACUGUCUACCUUAAAGACCAAUCUAACUGCUGGUUCUUAACUUUCUGGACACCCCAAUAGUACAUUUAUGUCCAAGUUUUGUAUGCAAAAUCAUUCUCAACCUCGCCCUCUAGGUCAAUCGAAUUUAAGGCUUUUAUCAAUCUCUUGCUCACCAAUAUGGUCCAAGAUUUGGAUAAUUUGCUUAUGUUUCAAAGAUUAAAUUCAAGAGGAUUCCUUCAAAGCAAUAGUCUUUUGGUAAAAAGGUCAGUGUGCUCUUUUUUAUUGAAGCUCUUCAGGUGGGAGAAGACUUCUAUAAGAUAAGACGGAUCUUGAUAAGUUUCCCUUGUAUAAAUAAAAGAUACAAGAAUUAAAAAAUAUUGGGCAACAAUCCUGAAUUACUUUGAUACUGAUUUGAUUCUGGUAAAAUAAUCUGUCUUCUUUCUUUAUAGCAUUAACAUAUAUAGACUGUUAUUGAAUCUAUGAAGGGUUGAAUCAAAUGCAUUUGACUUCUUCAAAUUUCUAGUAUAAUGAAAAUAUUGAAGAAUAGAAGUCAAUGAAGAUGAAUCAGGGGAUGAUAACUUUGUACAAAAUGAUCCUUCCUCUGUGAAUUGCUUCUCUCCCUUUUGCUAUUCUGCAAAAUCAAGAGUACCCUUGUGUUCUGUUUGAUUGAAGAAAUGUCUUGAGAAUCAAUUUUGCUAUUUCUAGAUUCACACCGAGUCUGAGCUAUACAUUGAUGGAUGAUCAGAUCCUAUAGCCCAACAAUGGUGAUUGGAUCAUCCUCUUUUUCGUCUUCUCCUUCCUGGAAUAGAUCUGUGAAUAUUCUUGUGAAUUCUUGCAGAACCACCUCUUCACAGAGGUGGUACCAACUAUCAAGGCUUCAUUCCAUCUUCUUUUUAGUCUUCUUUAUUGUCUAUGUGCUCUCUAUCACUUCCUCUGCAGCUCAAAUCUCCUACAGUGAUCAGUGCUCUUCCGUUGUCCCAGAAUUGCCCCCAACCAUACAGGAGUUCAUCACCUUACCAUUUUCUCGCAUACCAAAUGGCUACUGUAUUGGAGGUGAUAGAAUUAUAAACCAGGAUCCAUAUCACUACUCUGCAAACUUCUCUAAAGUAAUAACAUUUGAGACCCGAAAUAUAUAUAGAACUGAGGUAGAAAGUGUGUUCAAGGUUGAGGGGAUUUUGAACCUCCUAAGCAGGAACAUGUACUAUUCUGGGGGAGAUUCAGGAGAUGGACGAUCAUCCAAUUUCCAGGCCAUCCCUCCAAGCUCCUGGGUUGGUUCUGUGAGCUUUGGCCUAGAAGGGUUCUGGUCGAAAUCUUCUGGCAAGCUUUGCAUGGUGGGAUCAGGUUCUGCAUACUCCAGUGAAGGUAAGUUGCUUAAUCUUGCUGCUAUCCUUAAGCUCAGUAAUGUAAAAAAUUCUAGUACUGUUACCGAUUUGUUCAGUGGUACUCUGGAGAGCUUGGAUUUGACCGGUGAUUCCAAUUAUUUUGAACCAAUUUCCAUAUUGGUAUUUCCUCAAAUGAACUAUGAUUACACUUCGAUUUCCGAAGAGAGUGGUACUGGGUGUCCUGGAGAGACUAAUGUUCCGGAGGGUUCAUCACUUAGUGCAGGGUCAAUUUGGAAGAUCUAUUCAAUACUCUCAACGCCAAGCAAUUGGCUUGAGUUGGAGUAUGACCAUGACUGCAAUUCUUUACAGAAUUGCACUCCCUUUGGUGGGGCGAUUCAAUAUUUGCCCCGUAUCAUAGCCACAAAAGGAAUUAAGUGUUCAGGGGCUAAACAACAGUUGCAACUUCUGAUAAAAUUUCAGAACGUUGGAAAACUUGAGUAUUACCGACCUUUUAAUCCAAGCACCACAUUGGUUGGAGAGGGACGGUGGGAUGACAAGAGGAAUAGGCUAUGUGUCGUUGCUUGCCGAAUCUUGAACACUACGGAUUCUCUGGCUAAUGCUCGGGUUGGGGAUUGUUCAAUCAGGUUGAGUUUGAGAUUCCCUGCAACCUGGACAAUCAGAAACAGAAGUAGCAUGGUGGGACAGAUUUGGAGCAACAGAACGGUGAAUGAUUCAGAGUACUUCAGUAGGAUCAUGUUUCAAAGUCCCCAGAAUAUUAUAGAGGUUCCAGGCUUGAAAUAUGAAUAUACUGAGAUUGACAGAGCAGGAAAAUCAUGCCAAGAAAAGAUGCCUGUUGGAAACAAGGGGACAGCAUACCCAGAAGCGAAUUCUUUUGAUAUGCAAUUCGACAUGUCGGUUAAAAGCUCUACAGAGAUAAUUGCAUGGGGUUCCUCAGCCCCCCUCUUUGUGGGUGAAAUUUUUUAUGACCCUUUGGUUAGCUUUGAACCAUUCUCCCUAUCAAGCUCAAUGCAAGAAAAUUCUGCAGUUGAAUCACACAGCAGACGGAUUGGUCCAGAGAAUAUUAGCUACAAGAUGAGCUUCAAAUUGAAACCUGGGCCUGAAUCUGAUGGUAUCAUCAAUCCAUUUAGUUCUUCUUCUUCAGGUAUGUAUCUGCAAGUAGAGAUUUCUGCUGAGGGGAUUUAUGAGGCUAAAACAGGAUUUCUGUGUAUGGUAGGCUGCAGAAAGCUGAGGUCAGAGAUUCAGAUAUUGACAAACGACUCCAUGGAUUGUGAGAUUCUUCUGAGCCUCCUCUUCUCUCCAUUGAACUCCAGGAAUGGAAGUUACAUCAAGGGAAGUAUCGAAAGCACACGACAUGAAUCUGAUCCUCUUCACUUCCCAAGUCUGGCCUUGUCUGUGGGAUCCUCCCUAAAAAAUGCCACGUGACUCUCUCUCCCUUGCACACGCAGACGGUCCCCCUUGCGACGCGCGGCAUAGCUCAUUCUACCCGGGGCGGAAUUCUGUCCGGUCGACGUUCCACCUUCUCCGGAUAUCUCACAUCCGGUGCCUGACGCCGGAUGGGAGAGGAGGGCGAUUCAACUUCCCCUGUCAGACAUGUCCGGAUACUCUGAUAGCGCUUACUCGAAGAACAUCCGCAGCCGACAUUUCAAAUUCCCCGGACAACUUGGCUCGUCAGACACUCGCGAUUUGCCUGAUCCAUUUCUGCCCACAAUCAAAAAGCAAACUCCGAUAAUACUGACGACCAAGUCUCCUGAACUAUCACUCAUAUUUAAUGCAAGAUACACUCGACAAGAUAUUCCCAAAUCUUAUCAGAGUGCUUGACACAUUCCCGAUAUUUAAAGUCAUAAAUUGAAGUGACAGUCGCCACCUGGCACCAGAAAUGUCAUGAUUGCUUUGCCACCCUAUGAGCCGCAAUCAUGACGAUGGGACCCGCUAGCAUAGCGGGGCCAUACUUUCUGACUCAUAUAUAAACUCUAAGGAGACUCUCAGGAAGGUAAGCAUCCUUGACAAAAAUCACGGAGCAACACUCCCAAAGGAAAACUCUAUUUUCCAACAACUUCCAAAAGACUAACUUAAUCAUCGGAGGGUGUGUCCGGACAACCCAUCCGGACAUCUUUUUUGCAGGAGGAAGGAGGAAUCACUACUACGCGUUGAUCGAGAUUCCGUUGCUGGUGACUACUAUUGUAGCAGGGGAAUUUUGCCAUCAACAUUGUCUUCAGCUGCUUUCACUGUGGUGGAAGCCAGAAAGUCCAUUUGGAGGAUGACUAUGGAGAUCACCAUGGUUCUAAUGUCUAACACCCUUACCUUUUUCUUUGUGAGCCUGCAACUCUUUCAUGUGAAAAAGCAGCCCAAUCUUCUGCCUUCCAUCUCACUGAUCAUGCUUGGAAUUCUUGGUCUCGGGUAUUUGAUCCCUCUUGCACUAGACUUCAAUGCCAUACUCCUCGGAAGCCAUAGUCAUGAGAGGAUUGCGCUCGGAAGGGGCGGAUGGCUUAAAGUGAACAAUGUGUUUGUGAGGGUAGUGACUCUGGUAGUUUUCCUGCUCCAAUGCCGGCUUCUCCUGCUCGCAUGGUCAGCUAGAUUAGGCCAUGGAGACCAAAAGAGGUUGUGGGCUGCUGAGAGGAAUGGUCUGUAUGUGUCUUUGCCAUUAUAUGUAGCUGGGUUCUUAAUCAUUUGGUUGCUAAAUUACCAGCAACAUUCCCUUUGGUGGGGCUUGGGAUCUUAUGCUGGGUUGGUGGUUGAUGGCUUCCUUUUCCCUCAGAUUCUGUUCAAUGUGUUCAUGAACUCAGGAGAUCAACAAGUUCUUUCUCAGUCUUUUUAUAUGGGAACCACUUUAAUCAGGCUGCUCCCUCAUGCCUAUGACCUUUACAGGGCUCAGAACUAUGCUCAGGGCUUUGAUGGGUCAUACAUAUAUGCAAAUCCUGGCGGAGACUUUUACUCAACAGCUUGGGAUGUCAUCAUUCCUUGUGCGGGUCUGCUGUUUUCUGCUAUCAUUUUCUUGCAGCAGCGGUUUGGUGGUGGUUGUAUCAUUUCCAAGAGAUUCAGGGAGUCGGAAGCUGCAUAUAAGAUGAUACCAGUGGUUACUGGUGAGAUAGCCAUGUGACAUGAAUUUAGAUUGCUUUUGCGGUGCUUAUAUUUGAAAUGUUUUUAUCGACGGUAUUUUUUCUAAAAAUAUUUUUAAAAGAAUAAUCUAAAAUGCUUAUUUAGGAUUUACGAGAAGUGAUCUCUAAAUUUCAUCAAAUAACUAAUUUUUCAUAAAAAUAAUUUUUAUGUUAAAAAUGCUUUCUAAAAAUAAUAAAAUGAAUGAAAACCAAAUCAAAUCUCAUUCUCAUUAAAAUUUUGAUUGAUAUAUAUUGUGAUUCAUCGAUCUAUUCCCAUUCUCAAUCCCCAAGUACCAAGGGCACCCUGUUUCUCCAUCGGAAAAUGGAAGCAAUUGGAUUCCAACACUAUUGUACAUUUGUAUCGGUGCCAAAUUAAUCCAUUCCCAUUCUCAAUCCCCAAGUACCAAAGGCACCCCGUUUCUUCAUCAGAAAAUGGAAGCAAUUGGAUUCCAACACUGUUGUACAUUUGUAUCGGUGCAAUUGGAUUCCAACACUGUUGUACAUUUGUAUCGGUGCCAAAGCGACCUAAUUUUUGGUUUUGGUGUCAAAGUGACCCAGAGUGGCCUCCCCAGGAUUCGAACUCAAAACGAAGGUCCUUGUUGUUUCCCUCCUGGCAGGCUGGCACCAUCUGAGCAAGUAGACCACUUUGGGUUUGCUUAGAUGGUACCGGGAGGAAAACAACAAAGACCUUGGUCUUGAAUUCGAAUCCUAGGAAGACCACUCUAGGUUUGCUCAGAUGAUACCAGAAGGGAAACAAUAAGGACUUUAGUCUUGAAUUCGAAUCCUGGGGAGGCCACUUUGAAUCGCUUUGGCACUAGAGCAAAAAAUUGGGUCACUUUGGCAGAAUAUGAUGAAGAUGGUCAACUGCACACAAUGUGAAAAGCAUAUCGACAAGUUGCGAUGAAUAUCCAAAGAAUUGGAAAAAUGGGAAGGGGGUGUGGGGGAAGCACUUAGGAAACUAAUCCAAAGUUGACCAUAUUUCUUUGGUUGCCCACCCCAUUCGGUACAUUAAAAAAAUGUACAAUGUUGGAUUUAACUUAGUGGACAUGCAGAAUCUCACAGGAUAGGCCUAAGAUUACAACUGAAGCACAAAUGUCUGAAUUACACACAGAUACUUAUUUCUCUUCAUCAAUCAAGUGCUCCUUCCACUUGAGAUGAGGAUGACUUGUGGUGGCGAGUCUUGGAAGAACUUUGGGUGUUGUUUUGCCUAAUCACCCCAUUACUUUAAUAGUGCCUUGCACAAGUGUUUUUUUUAAAAGUAUUUUUAGGUAAUCACUUAGAAUACAUUUGAAAAUGAUUUUUUUUAAUAAAAUUAAUAUUUUUAACACUUAAAUAAUAAAAAAUUUCAAAUGUUAUAAAUAUUAAAAACAUUUUCUAAAAUCUCUAUAAAACAGGUUAUUAUUAGGUAAAAGUGAUUUUUCAAAUUUUUAGAAAUAUUUUCUAAAUUUUAUUAAAUAUCUUAUUUUUAUUAAACAAUAUUUUUUAAGGAUAAGAAUUUUUUUUUUAUUAAAAGAAUUUCAAUAUCUUUUGAUGAUAAGUUGAUUGUAUGAACAUCCCCCAAGUUUUUAUUGUAGCCUUUAAUCCCUGUUUGGAUUUAUUUUUUAGAAUAAAAGAAUUUUUUUUAAAGUUUAAUAAAAACUUUUAUCUAUUUUUAUUUAAUAAAACUUUUACAAUAUUGUCAUCAUCCUUUAAAAAUUAUAAUUUCGAAUUCAACUUUAACUUACGAUAAAACAAAAAAAAAAAACACUUGAGAUGAGACAAAUGUGCCAUUAAGAAAAGUACUCUUAGAGGUGGGCAUGACAUCUAUGAUCAGAUCAUAUUGUAUUAGUAGAACAGGACGUGGGAAUGUGAUUUGAUUCCCAUUACACAAUUUUUCUUCUUGCCACAUGGGCAUUGACAAUAGAAUAUGGACCUCCACUCUCUUGGAACCACCCUCAAAAUGAAAUUUAAUAAACCUCUAAUGGCUUACAUUUCAUGUAAAUGAAGCAAAAAUCGCAAGUAUUUUAUCUAAAGGAUAUAUGAUGAAAUUAAAAAAAAAAAAAAAGUCCAAGAUUAUCAACUAACCUUAAUCACUAGAAAAAAUCAAUCCUUAUCAAAGAUGAUAUUUUCCUGGAAAAUUUAUACUUGGGUUUCAUUGGAGAAGCUGUAACAAAUGUGUUGGAAGGCCAAAUUUUUUAGGUAUAGACUUGGAGAGAGUCAAAGCUAUAUAUUGACAGACUUAACAAGUCAGAGGUCGUCGUCAUCUUCAUCAUCUUCUUCUUCUUCCUUGAGGAGAUCCAUGACUAUGAUUCUGAAUUCUUGCACACCCACCUCUGCAAACAGGUGGUAUCUGUUAUCAGGGCUCCAAGCCUCCUUCUAUGUAGUCCUCUUCAUCAUCUGUGCAGCCUCUGUAUCUUGCUCCCCAUCUCAAAUCUCCUACCUUGAUCACUGUUCUUCCAUUGUCCCAGAAUUUCCCCCCACUGUUCGGGAGUUCUCCACCUUGCUGUUUCCCGGAACCCAAAAUGGAUACUGUCAUGGGGGAGAUGGAAUUUUAAGCCAGGAUUCCUCUGACUACUCGGCAAGCUUCUCUAAACUUCUGGCAUUGCAGACCCGGAAAAUAUACAGAACUGAGGCUGAAGGUGUUUUCAAGGUGGAAGGGAGUCUGAACCUCCAAAGCAAUAAUAGGUAUUACUAUGGGGAAGAUUUGAGAGAGAUGGAGAAUUCCUAUUCUGGGGUUCUGCCUACAAGCUUUUGGGGUGGUUCAGUGACCUUUCUUCUACAUGGGUUCUGGUCAGAAUCUUCUGGGAAGCUUUGCAUGGUGGGAACAGGCUCUGCCUACUCCAGAGAAGGUGAGUUGCUUGAUCUUGCUGCCGUGCUCAAGCUCAAUAACGUAAAAAAUCUGAGCACUGUUACUGACUUGGUUGGUGGGACUUUAGAGAGCUUGAAUUUGGCUAGUGAUUCCAAUUACUUUGAACCAAUUUCCAUGUUGGUGUUUCCUCAAAUGAAUUACAAGUACACUUUGGUUUCUGAGGUCGGUUUGGAGUCAAAUAUCAGUAUCUGUUCAAUGCUUUCAAGGCCAGAUAAUUGGUUUGAAUUGGAGUAUCCACUUGACUGCUAUUCUCUGCAGAAUUGCACUCCUUUUGGUGGGGAAAUUGGAUAUCUUCCCCAUUUCAUAAACAUAAAAGCAAGUCAGUGUUCAGAGGAUGAACGGAGGUUGAAAAUUAUGAUCAAGUUUCAUAACUUUAGCUAUGUUGACUAUAACCAACUGCCAAGUCCCAACAUGACAUUGAUUGGGGAGGGGUGGUGGGAUGCCAAGAACAAUCGGCUAUGUGUCGUUGCCUGUCGAAUCUUGAACACCAUGCAGUCUCUCGCUAAUGCUCACAUCGGUGAUUGUUCAAUUAGGUUGAGUUUGAGAUUCCCAGCAAUCUGGUUGAUCAGAAGCAGAAGUAACAUUGUGGGGCAAAUUUGGAGCAACAAAACUAUAGAUGAUUCAGGGUACUUUAAUAGGAUCAUGUUUCAAAGUCCUGAGAAUAUAAGGCUGGAGAUUCCAGGCUUGAAAUAUGAGUACACUGAAAUUGACAGGGCAGGAAAGCUAUGCCAGAAAAAAAAGUGUGCUGAAAAUAAAGGGGAAAGAUACCCGAAUCCAAACGACUUUUCUUUUGAUAUGCAGUUUGACAUGAUGGUUAAAAACUCCACAGGAGUGAUGGCAUGGGGCUCUGCAGCCCCUUUCUUUGUGGGUGAUAAUCUUUAUGACCCUUUUGAGUAUGGCAUUCCUUCCUCAAGCUCAGAGCCAGGAAGCUCUGUAGUUGAAGCAAAUGCCAGGCAUAUUAGCCCAGUGAAUAUCAGCUACAAGAUAAGCUUCACAUUGGAACCUGGUGCUGAAUUUGGUGGUAUCAUCAGCCCAUUUAGCGAAUCUUUGGGUAGGCAUAUGAAAGUAGAUAUUUCUGCUGAAGGGAUUUAUGAUGCCAAAACAGGA
rnacentral:lncRNA from 1 species